rnacentral:rRNA from 1 species
UGGGGAAUAUUGCACAAUGGGCGCAAGCCCGAUGCAGCCAUGCCGCGUGUGUGAAGAAGGCCUUCGGGUUGUAAAGCACUUUCAGCGAGGAGGAAGGUGGUGAACUUAAUACGUUCAUCAAUUGACGUUACUCGCAGAAGAAGCACCGGCUAANUCCGUGCCAGCAGCCGCGGUAAUACGGAGGGUGCAAGCGUUAAUCGGAAUUACUGGGCGUAAAGCGCACGCAGGCGGUUUGUUAAGUCAGNUGUGAAAUCCCCGGGGCUCAACCUGGGAACUGCAUUUGAAACUGGCAAGCUAGAGUCUCGUAGAGGGGGGUAGAAUUCCAGGUGUAGCGGUGAAAUGCGUAGAGAUCUGGAGGAAUACCGGUGGCGAAGGCGGCCCCCUGGACGAAGAUUGACGCUCAGGUGCGAAAGCGUGGGGCAGCAAACAGGAUUAGAUACCCUGGUAGUCCACGCUGUAAAACGAUGUCGAUUUUGGAGGUUGUGCCCUUGAGGCGUGGCUUCCGGGGCUAACGCGUUAAAGUCGACCGCCUGGGGAGUACGGCCGCAAGGUUAAAACUCAAAGGAA